UUGUAUAGAAUGAUUCAUUAAAAAGAAAACUCAAUUCAAACAAGCAUCUACAACAUUAAAAAGUACAAGCCUCUACAACAUCUUUGUCCUUUCAUCACUCUACAACAUUAUUUAUCAGUUAUUACGAUAAUCUAACAGCUAAGAGAUUAACCAUUCAUUUUUUUAAACUGCCAAAUUCAAGGAUAGUUUGGGGGGUUAAGAGUCCCACAAUUUCUAGAUAUGGGUCUGAACUGAAGAUAUGUUUAUAAGUAGGGCAAUCAUCGUCUUAUAAAUCGGUUUUGUAAAGUUGACACUACAAUAUUUGUAGCCUCUGGCAACAUGUUAUUAUGCAACCCUUGACAAUUGUUGCCUAAAAGUAGUAUAGGCGACAAUUUAUGCAUGUUAAUGAGUGUAUUCUAAGAUGGUAUCAGAAUCUUUUCAAAAUUCGUUCAGCCACCUGCUAUAAAUCACAUUAGUUGAGGGGACAAUCUUCAUCUUACGAGCCAAUUUGCUUAACAUACACUUAAGUUGAGGUUGGAUCCAAUAAUUUUCAUAUAUAAGUAAAAUUGAUUUUACACACAAGUGACUUGUAAUUUAUCCUUUCAUAGUAAAGUUAUAACCUAAGUGUGUGUGUUUGAGGCAAAUCAAACCAAACAAAACAAAACAAAACAAAACAAUCCAAUUCAAACCAAACCAAAUCAAAUUGUACCAUACUGAAUUAAACAUACCUUCAAAUUCCAAAUUGAUUGCUUUCAUUCCAAUGGUUUUCUAACCAUAGAAUCUGGGCGCUAAUUUCCCAUUUAAAUAAAACCUUUCAAACAAAUGCACAAUAAGAAGCUCUGAAUAGAAAAUAUUCCAAUUCACUGCAAAACGACACAUGCUAUAAUAGUACUUGAUCCAAAAAAACAAAAAUAUCCAAUAUGUUACAAGUUCUCACAGACGCGAUUAGAAUAUGUUUCGG
rnacentral:lncRNA from 1 species